rnacentral:rRNA from 1 species
GACGAACGCUGGCGGCGUGCUUAACACAUGCCAGUCGAACGGAAAGGCCCUGCUUUUGUGGGGUGCUCGAGUGGCGAACGGGUGAGUAACACGUGAGUAACCUGCCCUUGACUUUGGGAUAACUUCAGGAAACUGGGGCUAAUACCGGAUAGGAGCUCCUGCUGCAUGGUGGGGGUUGGAAAGUUUCGGCGGUUGGGGAUGGACUCGCGGCUUAUCAGCCUGUUGGUGGGGUAGUGGCUUACCAAGGCUUUGACGGGUAGCCGGCCUGAGAGGGUGACCGGCCACAUUGGGACUGAGAUACGGCCCAGACUCCUACGGGAGGCAGCAGUGGGGAAUAUUGCACAAUGGGCGGAAGCCUGAUGCAGCAACGCCGCGUGCGGGAUGACGGCCUUCGGGUUGUAAACCGCUUUCGCCUGUGACGAAGCGGGAGUGACGGUAAUGGGUAAAGAAGCACCGGCUAACUACGUG